rnacentral:rRNA from 1 species
CUGAGCGGAAUCCAGAGUACAUCGAGACACGAGAAACCUUGAUGGAAAGAGCGGGGACCACCCCGUAAGCCUAAAUACUACUUAGUGACCGAUAGCGCAUAGUACUGUGAAGGAAAGGUGAAAAGGACCCCGGGAGGGGAGUGAAAGAGAACCUGAAACCCUGUGUUUACAAGCUGUGGAAGUUCUUUAAAUGAACAACCGCGUACUUUUUGUAGAACGGUCCGGCGAGUUGCGGAUACUGGCAAGGUUAAGCACUUAAGGUGCGGAGCCGAAGGGAUACCAAGUCUUAACAGGGCGUUAAGUCAGUAUACGCAGACCCGAAACCGGGUGAUCUAUCCAUGUCCAGGUUGAAGUUGUCGUAAAAGACAAUGGAGGACCGAAGCCACAUCCGUUGAAAAGGGUGGGCAUGAGGUGUGGAUAGGGGAGAAAUUCCAAUCGAACCCGGAGAUAGCUGGUUCUCCUCGAAAUAGCUUUAGGGCUAGCCUCGAUUUAGUCUUAUGGAGGUAGAGCACUGAAUUUCCGCGGGGGCGUCAAAGCUUACCAAAGAAUAUCAAACUCCGAAUGCCAUGUAGAUGAUGAUCGGGAGUCAGACUGCACGAGAUAAGUUGGGCAGUCAAAAGGGAAAGAGCCCAGACCACCGGCUAAGGUCCCAAAGUGCGUGUUAAGUGGAAAAGGAUGUGGGAAUUCGAAGACAACUAGGAUGUUGGCUCAGAAGCAGCCAUACAUUCAAAGAGUGCGUAACAGCUCACUAGUCGAGAGUUCCUGCGCCGAAAAUGUCCGGGGCUGAAACACGACACCGAAGCCGUGGACUCGCAAUGCGAGUGGUAGAGGAGCAUUCUUAAAACCGACGAAGCUGUACCGAAAGGAGCAGUGGAGGGAUAAGAAGAGAGAAUGCCGGAAUGAGUAGCGAGAGAAAGGUGGGAAUCCUUUCGGCCGAAUAUCUAAGGUUUCCAGAGUAAAGCUGAUCUGCUCUGGGUAAGUCGGGGCCUAAGCACAGGUCGCAAGACGUAAGCGAUGGAUAACAGGUUUAGAUUCCUGUACCACGCAUUAUCAGAACUGUAGGGACGCAUGUGGAAAGCACGAGCCGGGAAUGGAAAGACCGGUACAAGCGGGGUAGGUGUACAAUAGGCAAAUCCGUUGUAUAAUCCGAAGACGUGAUGUGGAGCGAAAUAAAGUAGUGAAGCGUGUGAGCCAUGUGCCGAGAAAAGCUGCUAUUGUGUAAUGCGUGCCCGUACCGUAAACCGACACAGGUGGAUGAGGAGAGAAUCCUAAGGCCGACGGAAGAAGCAUUGUUAAGGAAUUCGGCAAAAUGACCCCGUAACUUCGGGAGAAGGGGUGCCUGCGAGAGCAGGCCGCAGAGAAUAGGCUCAAGCAACUGUUUAGCAAAAACACAGGUCUAUGCGAAACCGAAAGGUGAAGUAUAUGGGCUGACGCCUGCCCGGUGCUGGAAGGUUAAGAGGAGAGGUUAGCGUAAGCGAAGCUUUGAAUUUAAGCCCCAGUAAACGGCGGCCGUAACUAUAACGGUCCUAAGGUAGCGAAAUUCCUUGUCGGGUAAGUUCCGACCCGCACGAAAGGCGUAAUGAUUUGAGCACUGUCUCGACAAUGCAUCCGGUGAAAUUGAAGUACCAGUGAAGAUGCUGGUUACCCGCGCCAGGACGGAAAGACCCCAUGGAGCUUUACUCCAGUUUGAUACUGGGAUUCGGUACUGCAUGUACAGGAUAGGUGGGAGACGAAGAAGGAUGGACGCCAGUCUGUCCGGAGUCGCUGUUGGGAUACCACCCCUGUAGUACUGGGUUUCUAACCAGUUGCCAUGAACUGGCAAUGGGACAAUGUCAGGCGGGGAGUUUGACUGGGGCGGUCGCCUCCGAAAGGGUAUCGGAGGCGCUCAAAGGUUCCCUCAGAAUGGUUGGAAACCAUUUGAAGAGUGCAAAGGCAGAAGGGAGCUUGACUGCGACACCGACGGGUGGAGCAGGUACGAAAGUAGGACUUAGUGAUCCGGUGGUAUAAAGUGGGAUUGCCAUCGCUCAACGGAUAAAAGCUACCCUGGGGAUAACAGGCUUAUCACUCCCAAGAGUUCACAUCGACGGAGUGGUUUGGCACCUCGAUGUCGGCUCAUCGCAUCCUGGGGCUGUAGCAGGUCCCAAGGGUUGGGCUGUUCGCCCAUUAAAGCGGUACGCGAGCUGGGUUCAGAACGUCGUGAGACAGUUCGGUCCCUAUCCGGCGCGGGCGGAGGAUAUUUGAGAGGAGCUGUCCUUAGUACGAGAGGACCGGGAUGGACGGACCACUGGUGUAUCUGUUGUCGACCAACGGCAUGGCAGAGUAGCCAAGUCUGGAAGGGAUAAACGCUGAAGGCAUCUAAGCGUGAAGCCCCCCUCAAGAUGAGAUAUCCCUCCUUCGGGAGUAAGACCCCUUGAAGACUACAAGGUAGAUAGGGCAGAGGUGGAAGCAUGGCAACAUGUGGAGCUGACUGUUACUAAUAGGUCGA